AACGAACGCUGGCGGCGUGCUUAACACAUGCAAGUCGAACGCGAAAGGGAUUUCGGUCCUGAGUAGAGUGGCGCACGGGUGAGUAACGCGUAAGUUAUCUACCCCUCCAUCUGGAAUAACUCACCGAAAGGUGUGCUAAUACCGGAUACGUUGGAAACAAGAAAGGUGGCCUCUAUAUAUAAGCUACCGUGGAGGGAUGAGCUUGCGUACCAUUAGCUAGUUGGUAGGGUAAUGGCCUACCAAGGCAACGAUGGUUAGCGGGUCUGAGAGGAUGAUCCGCCACACUGGAACUGGAACACGGAUCAGACUCCUACGGGAGGCAGCAGUGAGGAAUAUUGCGCAAUGGGGGAAACCCUGACGCAGCGACGCCGCGUGGAUGAUGAAGGCCCUUGGGUCGUAAAAUCCUGUCAGAUGGAAGAAGUGUAUAGUAGCUAAUACCUGCUAUAUUUGACGGUACCAUCAAAGG
rnacentral:rRNA from 1 species